rnacentral:rRNA from 1 species
CGGCAGGCUUAAUACAUGCAAGUUGAGGGGCAGCAUGAUAUACGCGAGUAUAUUGAUGGCGACCGGCGGACGGGUGAGUAAUAGGUAGGUAACCUACCUCAUACUGAGGCAUAGCUGGGAGAAAUUCCAGGUAAUUCCUCAUGAGGUUAUAUGACACAUGUGAUAUAAUCAAAGGUAUCGCAAGGUACUGGUAUGAGAUGGGCUUACUGACCAUUAGCUAGUUGGUGAGAUAAGAGCUCACCAAGGCGAAGAUGGUUAGGGGUUUUGAGAGAGAGAUCCCCCACAUUGGAACUGAGAUACGGUCCAGACUCCUACGGGAGGCAGCAGUAGGGAAUAUUGGGCAAUGGGCGGAAGCCUGACCCAGCCAUGCCGCGUGAAGGAAGACGGCCUUAUGGGUUGUAAACUUCUUUACUAUGCGACUAACUAGAUUUACGAGAUAAUUCUAUAGAAUGUAGCAUAGCAAAAAGCACCGGCUAACUCCGUG